CAUUGCAGACAGGCAAUUAACUACAGACCAGAGAAACGACGCUCCCACAUCUGGCUCGGCGAGUUUACCGGGUCACUCACAGAAACGCGGCGACUGGAACGCAGUGGCAUCACGCAAAAGCCCGCCCCAGUACAGGUGAUGACUCUGCAGCAGGCCGUCCCUCAGAGUCCCCCAGCAGUGGUUUGCAGCUUUCAAGCCCUGGGAAGGGAGGGGCUGUGAACCUUAGAGGUAAUUUCUGCCAUCACCGUACUCUGCUCCCCAGGAUUCGGAGCUUUCUGAGUCUCUGCUUCCUCCCUCGCUCCAGGAGAGGGUGCUUCAGCUUGGAGGAAACAUCGCCUCUGCUCUAAUGAAAUGAAAAGCUAUGGAUUAAUUCAAAAUUAAUAAAGAUCAGAUUUGACUUGGGGAGACCUCCUGAAAAUCUUGGCUACAGACAUGAAGAAAGAAAACAAGGAAAACUGCAAGACAGAACAAAAGGACUAGACAUCAAUGAAGACAAGUCAAGUAGCCCAGAUGAUCCAGCCUCACAGAAUAGCUCUGUUGUCAUUUUCCCAAAAAAUCUGCAUUCAGCGUGAGACCUUAUUCUCAAAGGGACGAGAAUUUCCUAGCAGAAUGUUUUAGAAUUAGAAACACAGACUAGCCUCACAUUCCCAGAAAGACAGCACUUUCCUUCCCCCCCCAAUCUGGGAGAUUCCAAGCACAAGGACACUCAGCUUAGCCCAGCCAGCCACCUGGUGAUAAAGAAAACAAAGAGAAAGCUGACUUAGCAGAAUGGGAGAAAGCAAAAGACCUUGCACCCUGCCAAAGCAGCUUCAAAAAGCCUUUUUUAA